rnacentral:rRNA from 1 species
CCAUGAGUAAAGUGGCGUACGGGUGAGUAACACGUGGAUAAUCUACCUUUUAGUGGGGAAUACCGUUGGGAAACCGACGACAAUACCGCAUAAUCUCGAGAGAGGAAAGCCGCAAGGCGCUGAAAGAGGAGUCCGCGGCCGAUUAGCUAGUUGGUAGGGUAAUGGCCUACCAAGGCUGUGAUCGGUAGCCGGCCCGAGAGGGCACACGGCCACACUGGCACUGAAACACGGGCCAG